rnacentral:rRNA from 1 species
AAUGAACGCUGGCGGCAGGCCUAACACAUGCAAGUCGAACGAGGCAGCAAUGCCUAGUGGCGGACGGGUGAGUAACGCGUGGGAACGUGCCCCUUGGUACGGAAUAGCCCCGGGAAACUGGGAGUAAUACCGUAUGUGGUCGAGAGACGAAAGAUUUAUCGCCAAGGGAUCGGCCCGCGUUGGAUUAGGUAGUUGGUGGGGUAAUGGCCUACCAAGCCGACGAUCCAUAGCUGGUUUGAGAGGAUGAUCAGCCACACUGGGACUGAGACACGGCCCAGACUCCUACGGGAGGCAGUAGUGGGGAAUCUUAGACAAUGGGGGAAACCCUGAUCUAGCCAUGCCGCGUGAUCGAUGAAGGCCUUAGGGUUGUAAAGAUCUUUCAGUGGGGAAGAUAAUGACGGUACCCACAGAAGAAGCCCCGGCUAACUCCGUGCCAGCCGCCGCGGUAA